rnacentral:rRNA from 1 species
CAGUAGCCGCGGUAAUACGUAUGUCACAAGCGUUAUCCGGAUUUAUUGGGCGUAAAGCGCGUCUAGGUGGUUAUGUAAGUCUGAUGUGAAAAUGCAGAGCUCAACUCUGUAUUGCGUUAGAAACUGUGUAACUAGAGUACUGGAGAGGUAAGCGGAACUACAAGUGUAGAGGUGAAAUUCGUAGAUAUUUGUAGGAAUGCCGAUGGGGAAGCCAGCUUACUGGACAGAUACUGACGCUGAAGCGCGAAAGCGUGGGUAGCAAACAGGAUUAGAUACCCGCGUAGUCCCUGUCUCUUAUACA